CAGCCGCCGCGGUAAUUCGAAGGGGGCUAGCGUUGCUCGGAAUUACUGGGCGUAAAGGGCGCGUAGGCGGACAGUUUAGUCAGAGGUGAAAGCCCAGGGCUCAACCUUGGAAUUGCCUUUGAUACUGGCUGUCUUGAGUUCGGGAGAGGUGAGUGGAAUGCCGAGUGUAGAGGUGAAAUUCGUAGAUAUUCGGCGGAACACCAGUGGCGAAGGCGACUCACUGGCCCGAUACUGACGCUGAGGCGCGAAAGCGUGGGGAGCAAACAGGAUUAGAUACCCUGGUAGUCCACGCUGUAAACGAUGAGUGCUAGUUGUCGGCAUGCAUGCAUGUCGGUGACGCAGCUAACGCAUUAAGCACUCCGCCUGGGGAGUACGGUCGCAAGAUUAAAACUUAAAGGAAUUGACGG
rnacentral:rRNA from 1 species